GGGAGGAGAGCCCCGCCCGCCCCGCACAAAGGCGCCCGGCCCCUCCGAAACUUUGCGCCCCGGGAGCUCAGGCCCGGCCAGCCCGUGACAGCGGUGACCCACGCCCCCGCCGCACCGGCCCAGAUCGGGCGCCUCGCCUCGGGCGCCCACGCGGAGCAGCGGCUCCCCCCUUAGCAGGCGGCCGGGCCGAGCCCACUCCCCGCGCCGGAGCAGCGAGCGGCACGGCAGGUCCGAUCCUGCGUACUUCCCAGCAGGUCACCGUUGAGUCCCUUCCUGCCCGGACCCACAUGGCUCCCAGCACUACAAACACAGCACACAUGUCCCACCCUGUGAGCACCCGAGACUGUCGCAGGACCAUGAGGCUCAUUCCACAGAUGGAGAUGGGCGUCUGAGUCCACACCUGGCCUGCAGCUGGCCAGGCCCCGGCCCCGGGCGGCAGCCUCCUGCAGACCUUCAGCUCAGAGAAAUUGUCAGGACCACAAGUAUUACUGACAGCCACAACAAAGCUGGGCCGGCUGACUGGCUUUCCUGAGGAGGCCUAGUCUUCGCUGGAAGCUGGAGAACAGCACCUUUGUCAAUAUGAGAGGCAGCCUAGGGAGCAGGCGCCUGCCACUUCCUUAACCACCCGAAGGCAUUCGGUGAACGUGUGUUCCAAAAUAAACCUUGGGCAGGCACUUAA
rnacentral:lncRNA from 1 species